AGUGGCGAACGGGUGAGUAAAGUAUCGGAACGUGCCCAGUCGUGGGGGAUAACGUAGCGAAAGUUACGCUAAUACCGCAUACGAUCUAUGGAUGAAAGCGGGGGAUCGCAAGACCUCGCGCGAUUGGAGCGGCCGAUAUCAGAUUAGGUAGUUGGUGGGGUAAAGGCUCACCAAGCCGACGAUCUGUAGCUGGUCUGAGAGGACGACCAGCCACACUGGGACUGAGACACGGCCCAGACUCCUACGGGAGGCAGCAGUGGGGAAUUUUGGACAAUGGGCGCAAGCCUGAUCCAGCCAUGCCGCGUGCAGGAUGAAGGCCUUCGGGUUGUAAACUGCUUUUGUACGGAACGAAAAGGUUUGGCCUAAUAAGCUGAGCUCAUGACGGUACCGUAAGAAUAAGCACCGGCUAACUACGUGCCAGCAGCCGCGGUAAUACGUAGGGUGCGAGCGUUAAUCGGAAUUACUGGGCGUAAAGCGUGCGCAGGCGGUUAUGUAAGACAGAUGUGAAAUCCCCGGGCUCAACCUGGGAACUGCAUUAGUGACUGCAUAGCUGGAGUACGGCAGAGGGGGGAUGGAAUUCCGCGUGUAGCAGUGAAAUGCGUAGAUAUGCGGAGGAACACCGAUGGCGAAGGCAAUCCCCUGGGCCUGUACUGACGCUCAUGCACGAAAGCGUGGG
rnacentral:rRNA from 1 species